CCGCCAGAGAAUUACAAGCGAAAAGCUCAAAACUCAAAAGACUUGGCGGUGUCCCACACCCGACUUAGAGGAGCCUGUCCUAUAAUCGAUAACCCACGAUAAACCUAACCGCCCUUUGCCAAUCCGCCUAUAUACCGCCGUCGAAAAUCUACCUCACAAGAGAAAUACUGUAGAUUAAAUAGUAAAACACUAAAACGUCAGGUCAGGUGUAGCUUAUAGGGCGG
rnacentral:rRNA from 1 species